GGAGCACAUUGAUCUUGGAAUUAAGUAUGACCCAUCAACUGGUAUAUAUGGAAUGGAUUUCUAUGUUGUUCUCGAGCGCCCAGGGUACCGUGUUGGUCGUCGCCGAAGAUGCAAGUCACGAGUUGGAAUUCAGCAUAGGGUGACAAAGGAGGAUGCCAUGAAGUGGUUUCAAGUGAAAUAUGAAGGUGUCAUCCUUAACAAGGCCCAAACUAUUGGGGCUUAGAAGUGGUUGGUUAUUUUAAGUUUUUGCGAGUUCUGUUUUGGCAGGAUAAUUUUUAUGUUCUUGGAGUUGUAAACUUUUUUUCUGAAGAAUUUUGAAUUGGUAGAAUCUGGAAUACUAAUUCUGUUUCAUUGUUUUAACCAUGUGGUGCUUUAUUAUUAAUCAUGCUUAAAUCAUGCAUUCAAUUUUAUUAACCCAAAUGAUUAUGGUCCAAUAGUGAGCAAGAUUUGUCAAUCUUGGGUUCCUGCAUUUCGCCUUCAUCAUUUGAAUAUGGUGAUCAGGAACGGAAUGGUUGGUUAAUCUCGGCUGAUGAUCAUCUCAAUUAGUUUGCUACCAACCGGCUACCUUGCCUGCUAUGCUUGCAAUGAAGCUCUAUAGUUUAGUGAUAGCAUAUGGUUUUGUGUGUGAACUGAGGAUGGGAGUACAAGUUUAAUAUUGAGCAGCAAGUACAUGAAUGGUCAACCUUGCAAGAUUCUUGCAAUUCAAUGCCCUGUAAUGAAUAAUGAAACAGAGUGAAAAGCUAUGAAACAUGUUCUGUCCUUGCCAGAAGUUGUUCUUUGUUUAUAACCAGUUGUAUUAUGCUUAUGUGUUAAAAGGUCUUGAUUAUAAAACUGCUGAUGCCAUUAGUGCUUACUAUAAAGUUGCUGUUUGGGAAGAUAAAUUACCUGUUUAAUAAAAAAAUUGCUAGUAAAAUGUUAUGAACAAAAUAAUCCAAAAAUAAAAUGUUAUCA
rnacentral:misc_RNA from 1 species